rnacentral:rRNA from 1 species
GAGAAAGCUUGCUUUGAUUGAUUCACCUGAGGUGACUGAGUGGCGGACGGGUGAGUAACGCGUGGGUAACCUACCCUAUACAGGGGGAUAACAGUUGGAAACGACUGCUAAUACCGCAUAAGCGCACAGGGCCGCAUGGUCUAGUGUGAAAAAACUCCGGUGGUAUAGGAUGGACCCGCGUCUGAUUAGCUAGUUGGUGAGGUAACGGCUCACCAAGGCGACGAUCAGUAGCCGACCUGAGAGGGUGACCGGCCACAUUGGGACUGAGACACGGCCCAAACUCCUACGGGAGGCAGCAGUGGGGAAUAUUGCACAAUGGGCGAAAGCCUGAUUGCAGCGACGCCGCGUGAACGAAGAAGUAUUUCGGUAUGUAAAGUCCUAUCAGCAGGGAAGAAAAAUGACGGUACCUGACUAAGAAGCUCCGGCUAAAUACGUGCCAGCCGCCGC